UGGGGAAUCUUGGACAAUGGGCGCAAGCCUGAUCCAGCCAUGCCGCGUGGGUGAAGAAGGCCUUAGGGUUGUAAAGCCCUUUCAGUCGUGGCGAUGAUGACGGUAGCGACAGAAGAAGCCCCGGCUAACUCCGUGCCAGCAGCCGCGGUAAUACGGAGGGGGCAAGCGUUGUUCGGAUUUACUGGGCGUAAAGGGCGCGUAGGCGGGCGAUCAAGUCAGGGGUGAAAGGCCUGGGCUCAACCUGGGACGUGCCUUUGAAACUGAUUGUCUUGAGUGCGGGAGAGGGUGACGGAAUUCCCAGUGUAGAGGUGAAAUUCGUAGAUAUUCGGAAGAACACCAGUGGCGAAGGCGACUCACUGGACAGUUAUUGACGCUGAGGUGCGAAAGCGUGGGGAGCAAACAGGAUUAGAUACCCCCGUAGUCC
rnacentral:rRNA from 1 species